rnacentral:RNase_P_RNA from 1 species
CCAGACGGCUGGACGGCUGCCUCUUGCUAGGGCGAAAGCUGCAAGGGGAGGAAAGUCCGGGCUCCACGGAAACACGGUGCCGGGUAACCCCCGGCGGGCGCGAGCCUAGGGAAAGUGCCACAGAAAGCAAACCGCCCCCCGAAGCCUUCGGGCGAAGGGGGGUAAGGGUGAAAGGGUGCGGUAAGAGCGCACCGCGUCCUUGGCAACAAGGACGGCACGGUAAACCCCACCGGGAGCAAAACCGAAUAGGAAGGGCCGAUGGCUUCGGGCCAUGGAUGCGUUUCCGCAUCGCCCUUCGGGUAGGUUGCGCGAGGCGGGCGGCGACGUCCGUCCCAGAUGAAUGGCCGUCCAUCGGUGCGUCGCGAGGCGCCCAGGGACAGAACCCGGCUUACAGGCCGUCUGGUCCA